rnacentral:lncRNA from 1 species
CUCGUCCACUAGGGUAACCUAGGGGUUUAACGGCUUGUUGCACAUGCUAAGUGCAAUCGUGAUUCCUACGAAAGUGAGUACUUAUCUUAAUUUUAUGCAAUUAGUUCUAAUAAAACAUCAAAGGAUCAACCAAUAUUUUUUGUACUCUCAUGUUAUUGUUUACUCUGAAUUGCUAGAGACUAGCAAUAAGCUAGUUGAGGGGUAUGAUGAGAGC